UUACGUAGGGGGCGAGCGUUGUCCGGAUUUACUGGGCGUAAAGGGUAAGUAGGCGGUAAUAUGUGUCAGAUGUAAAAGGCUAUGGCUUAACCAUAGUUAGCAUUUGAAACUGUAUUACUUGAGUGCAGGAGAGGUAAGUGGAAUUCCUAGUGUAGCGGUGAAAAUGCGUAGAUAUUAGGAGGAACACCAGUGGCGAAGGCGACUUACUGGACUGUAACUGACGCUGAGUCACGAAAGCGUGGGUAGC
rnacentral:rRNA from 1 species